CAUUUGGAAGCCUGAGCAAAGGGCUGAAUUUGAAGGCCCAAGAGCUGGGGCUGAAGACCCUCACAAGGGUUGAUAGACAGUUUUGUUGGACUCUUUGCUACCCGGAAGGGGUGCAUUUUGUUGUGACACCUGGCUGGAGGACUGAGCCACUGAAGACCCACCAAGCAAGGUUGACAAUCUACAAGGGGUGCCAGGAGCAGGAAGUGGCCUGCAGUACCGUGUGCCGCAGCAGAAGGAACUCAAGAGUAAAUCUUCUCACCUCGCUGGUAAUGAAAGAGUUGCCGUAUCUCUGCAGAGCUGUGGCAGCAAUAUUACUGAUGGGCCCUUCUCCUGAUUCCGCAUAUUUUAGCAGCAGCGGAAUUGCUUCAGGCAGAAGGGCGUUCUUCAUUGCCAGCAGGCUUCCCAUUGCAGUGUUUUAGAAGCCCAUGUUCAACGUUAAGAAAUCUAAAGAUUGAGAGGGUUACUUUCAGAUGCCCUUUGGCAACCAUCAGAAAAGAAGAUUCUCAAGCAAAUCAGUGGGACAACUCCUAAGUUGUGAGUUGGUGUUGCUGGAUCUGGCCCAACAUG